GCUGCUCGUGGAGAAGGGCGAGGCGGCGGACCACUCGUACUGGUGGAACGACACCCGCGACCCGGGCGUGGGGCCGUUCGACACCGUCGAGCAGCC
rnacentral:tRNA from 1 species